UACGUAGGGGCCGAGCGUUGUCCGGAGUUAUUGGGCGUAAAGCGCUCGCAGGUGGUUCGUCGCGUCGUGCGUGAAAGACCCCGGCUCAACUGGGGAGGGUCGUGCGAUACGGGCGAACUGGAGGCCAGUAGGGGGAUGCGGAAUUCCGGGUGUAGUGGUGGAAUGCGUAGAGAUCCGGAGGAACACCAGCGGCGAAGGCGGCAUCCUGGACUGGUCCUGACACUCAGGAGCGAAAGCGUGGGGAGCGAUCCGG
rnacentral:rRNA from 1 species